GCCUGGGUGGCUCAGUCGGUUGAGCUUCCGACUUCGGCUCAGGUCAUGAUCUCGUGGUCUGUGAGUUCAAGCCCCGCCUCAGGCU
rnacentral:tRNA from 1 species